rnacentral:rRNA from 1 species
ACGGGAAGCAGCAGGGGGGAAUAUUGGACAAUGGGGGGAACCCUGAUCCAGCCAUGCCGCGUGUGUGAAGAAGGCCUUAUGGUUGUAAAGCACUUUAAGCGAGGAGGAGGCUCUUUUGGUUAAUACCCAAGAUGAGUGGACGUUACUCGCAGAAUAAGCACCGGCUAACUCUGUGCCAGCAGCCGCGGUAAUACAGAGGGUGCAAGCGUUAAUCGGAUUUACUGGGCGUAAAGCGCGCGUAGGCGGCCAAUUAAGUCAAAUGUGAAAUCCCCGAGCUUAACUUGGGAAUUGCAUUCGAUACUGGUUGGCUAGAGUGUGGGAGAGGAUGGUAGAAUUCCAGGUGUAGCGGUGAAAUGCGUAGAGAUCUGGAGGAAUACCGAUGGCGAAGGCAGCCAUCUGGCCUAACACUGACGCUGAGGUGCGAAAGCAUGGGGAGCAAACAGGAUUAGAUACCCUGGUAGUCCAUGCCGUAAACGAUGUCUACUAGCCGUUGGGGCCUUUGAGGCUUUAGUGGCGCAGCUAACGCGAUAAGUAGACCGCC